rfam:Candidatus Scalindua sp. BSI-1 SCARTB_contig000128, whole genome shotgun sequence.
CAGCGGGUGAAAGUUCCGUCCUGGGAAUUAUCUGUACACCCAGGUAGUUAUCUCCGACUCAUGGGAGGGUGACCGAACAUGGGAAAGCUCGGAAGUAAAAGUACCCAGUCCCUUGCGAAAGUAGAGGGGGCCAUUACAGUGGGGCGAGCAACUCUGCAGGCCGUAGCAUUA